GACCGCAUGAGAUAACCGAUUAUCCCUUGUGGUCAAACUAUACGGACCGCACGGGAUAAUCGAUUAUCCCGUGCGGUC
rnacentral:pre_miRNA from 11 species